CAAUGAUGUCACAGCUGUCCUCAGUGCCUGCCCUGGUAGGUGCAGCCCAGUGCUCCCAUAAGUUAUCCCUCCCCUGUGCCACUGCGGGCAUUAGUGGUGGUCUCACCCACCACAUCACAAGAGGAAUCUUAAAUCAUCCCACCAGAAGGUGAAGAGACCCACAAAAGGAUGGGAGAGGAGACUGGGAGGCAGAAGUUGCAGAUGAGAUCCCAGCAGCUGACAGUGGCAGCAGAAGAAAAUGAAGCAAAAACCUUUUUCAGGACACGAGACAGGUGAGGCAGCCAGGCUGGGAAACUGCCCGGGAAGCUCCACAGCAGGACCCUCAGCCCACUCCUGGAGCACCAUAAACCUUACAUGAAAGGAACAGCCUUACAGCAUUGCCACAUCCCGGAGGGAUGUCACUGUUAGCACUCACUGCAUGUGGAUCACCAAAGUUACUGUCUGUGUGUACAACAAAAAGGAGGCUGGCAGGGAGGACACUGAAGUGCAAGGCACAAGAAAGAGAAGGUCCCUAAUGGACAGAGGAAGCCACAGUGCCCACAAAGAGCCAUUCUGGAGCUCAGACAAUGCCCACAUCCUCAUAGCCCAAAGUCUUUUUAACUCUUCUCUCUGUCUGAGUGGCAGGCAAGAAGUAACCUCAAUGAUUGCAUUUCUUUGUGUGACCCCAUCUAAAACUUUCUGCAUCAGAUAAACAACUCCCAAGGGUCAAUUAA